rnacentral:lncRNA from 1 species
GGUGUUUGCAUUGAAAAGAGAGUCCGCGAUGUGUUUGCAUCAAAGAUAGAGCCAACAACUUAUUUAUGAUGGAGAUGUGAUGGAGAGAGAGCCGACGACAUGUUUGCACUGAAGAGAGAUUGCCGGCAAUAUUUUUGUGAUGGAAAGAGCCGACGAUGUGAUUGCAUCAGAGAAAGAGCCGGCCACAUAUUUGCGAUGGAGAGAGAGAUAGACUGGACUGUUUACAUCAG